AUCUCUUUCAGGAGAUUACUCCUCUUGGAGUUUUUUCUCUGAGCCUAUGACACAGCAAUUGCUAUUUUGACAACGUAACUGUAUUCCUCUAUUUACUUGAGUAUGCAUGAAGUAUAAUGCAAAGAGAUGACAACACAGGGCUUAACUGUAGCUGUGAACGUCUAUUCAAAUGGAAAAAAAAGAUACCCCUGUGAACCACAGCUAGACAGGAAAAAAAAGCCACAGGAAAGCUGGGCACAACAAGAAGCAGAGCAUGGCACAGAGACUGCCAACACAGCACGUGCCCAAGGUGAGUACUUGUAACCACACAUCCCAAAAGCAAGACACAGCCUACACUAGUAAGCAUCAGAAGCAAAUUAAAGCCAGUCCAGAUUACUCUGACUAGAAUAUGUGGCAUUAAUGCUUAAUUAUCAGUGUAUCUCCCCUGAGGUAGCCUUAAUGGGAUAUACCUCAGUCAACCCAUCAUCAUACGAGACAGUUCUCAAGAGGCACAGCACACCUCACAACGUCUGGAAACGAGACAGGUUAUUAAUGAGAUUUGUUCCUACAGAGCUAUUGUCUUAGCCACCAAUUAUUCCAAAGUGGGUGGUCUGGCAAAAAAAAAAAAAAGUGUCAAAAAAGCACCUAUAACAACGGAUCGCCCCAGUACCUGUCCUGGCUUACAAGUUACAGGAAAGCACCAAUGAAGAAGUGCAUGCUGAUGCUAGAGAGAGAUGUCCUAAGGACUUUUCUGGCCAGCCUCAAGUCACAGAUGUUCUUUACAGAGUCAAAGUUACUCACAGAGUUCUCUAAAAGCACUUAGCUGGCAAGUGGGAAAAUGAGAAAACCUGACUUCAUAGCAAAGAAUGCACAAAGUGCCUGAAUCUGGCUAAGGUGGAGUGAACCAGACUAUGAUGCUCCAAAUCCACACAUAGAAGGGAAUGAAAAGCAAGGGCUGGCCACGUGGGGCAGGUGUAAUUAAGCAGAGCACCUCGGAGCUUAUGGAAAAAUGAUUGAUGGCGUACAGAAAUGAGGAAGAAAACAACAGAACAGGAGGUCCUGGCAGUAAUAGCAGGGCACAGCAUUAGGACCAAGAAUCACAAGAACCUGGACUCUCUUGACAGCACAAAACAUCUGACCAACCCACUUAACAACACCUUUGCUUGGAGUUAAUUUAGGUCAGCUGGACAGAGCCUUCUUUGCACAUGGAAGUGUUGUGUUAAGCCAGAAUAGCUACUCACCCCAGCUGUAGGGCAUCCUUUGCCAUCUUCCAAGAAUCACAAGUGAAUGGCAUAGAAGUAUUUCCUUAAUUAGUUUGCCCAAACCAACUGGUAAGGGGCAGCAAUCUUCAGUCGCUGUGGGACACUACCUGCUGACAGCUUUUUCCAGCUGAAGUCAUGAAUGUCUGCAUUUUUAGGAAGGGCAUGCAGUAAGCCAAGAGCACCAGACCUGUCACAUGUGUGAUGGCAGGAGUAUGCAUUGACAAAAAAAUUGAUUAAAACUAUCUCAAAUUUCAGGGUAUUUUAUUAAGCUGUUAUAAAAUAUGCAGAAUAGAGCGCAGUAUGAGAUACAAGCUGUAAAUAACUAUGGCAG
rnacentral:lncRNA from 1 species